rnacentral:lncRNA from 1 species
CGCCAUCGUUUGUGAUUAAAUGAGCCAACUAUAUCUUUACCACAUACAGUCAAACUUCUGCUGAGGCCUUCCUCCUCCCAAAGUCCAGUGGGACUUGGGGACACAAAGGAGACAUCUUUCUGCAAUGUGACGGAAGAUAUUUCGAACUCUGAUCCCAGGAAAGUGUUUUACAGAAUCAGCCCGGAGAACUCCAUACUCGAGAUCCAGUUGGGGAAGCUUCCCACCUGGCUGCCGGUGUGCUAUGAGCGGUGGAACUCUUCACUGGGAACACUGGUUUGCAGACAGCUGGGUUAUCUCAGGUUUGCAAUCCUACCAGGACCACACACACCACCUUAGCCCUUAACACUGAUGAAAGCUGGACACCCGCUUACUGACUUAUAGCCAGCUUUGCCAGGGGUGAAGGCUGAGCUUAUUUAUAAUCUGCUAAUACCCAAUUUUCAAUCCUUCUUCACAUCCUAUGAAUUUGAAAUUAUCUUAUUGCUCACUUCCGCCAAUUUUGCAUACGCUCUCUUACCAGACUGACCAAGCAUAAGGGAGUGAAUCUAACGGA